UCAAUUGAUAUUAAAGAAGUACUUUACUUAAUUCUUUUAUGGUAUUCGACAUGCAUCGGCCAUCGUACAAUUUCUAUAGCAAUCAUAGAGACAUUAUUGUGUCUCUGUCAAUUAAUUGGCCAUCGUACAAUUUCUAUAGCAAUCAUAGAGACAAUGGAAUCUGACAUAGAAGCAUGUGAUGAGUACGAAAUCUUUUGGCUCCAUUAUCUUCUGGAAAUUAAGUUCUGAUCAUAUGAGCUCUCCUUCGUUGUUUCCCCAACAAAUCCAAUGAUUGGAAACCCCAGGUUGGCUGGUCGUAUUGGUCAGCGAGUUAGGAUUUACUCCCUCCUCAUAUCCGAAAAAAUUCUUAAUGCAAGAUUAUUUGUAACACCUCUUUUACAUCAAUUAGGUAGCAUUUGCAAACAUAAAAACACUCAAUACAAAUAAAAAAAUAAUACACCUAAUCCAUAAUACAACUACUCGAGUUUGGGAUGUGGUGGAUCUAAUCAAAAUUAGGGUGGCUAUGUGGAUGAAGACCAUGCAUGACCUCAAGUUAUAUAUGGUAGAGGAUUUUAAGGAAUACUUGAAUGGAAUUCAUAAGUUGAGAUUUUAGUUUACUUUUGAGGUGUUUCUAAUCCCACUUUAUGCUGGAUGUUUAUUUUUGUUUGUUCUUCUCCUUUUAUUGAGAAACACUUUGCGUCUCUCUUUUCAUUCCUCGAUGUACCCUUUUGAGCUUAAUAAAAUUUCGUUCGCCGAGAAAAAAAAAUACAAAAAAAAAAAAGUCCAUAUCUUCAUAUACUUGAAAGGAAACUAUUAACAAUAUAUUCAGCGUACUAUCCAAAACUAAGAAAUUCUCAAAAUUUAAAAGUCUUUAAUUCAAAGCCCGAGACCUCACAAAUUAAUCACCAUAUACUAUUCCCCGUGAAUUCUUAUACACAAUCUCGCUCCUUCCCCUAGACUACCCAAAAUUUAAUGUCUUGGUGACUAUUAGGGUCCGAUUGGAUGAGGGAUGAAUUUUGAGGUGGUGUUCCUGUUGCAUUUUCUCAUUUGAUGGUUCUCCCUCUCUAACUUGUAUGGUAAUUUUGAGGUGUUCCUAUAGGAGAAUGGAGUUUUUAAAGUGGAAAAUAUGCAAUUUGUAGGAUCAGUAUCUUGUACUGGUAAGUUACAUUAUCGUAUAACAAUAACACAUAAAAAGAGACAAAUUCCAACUUUUUAUUCUUCUCUUUACCUCAAGAAACACUAGCUAACAAAUUUUCCAACCUUUUAUUCUCUUCUUUAAUUAGCUUAAGAAACAGUAGCUAACAAAUUUGACCGGUGUUGAAGUCUCUGCACAGGUGUAAUGGGUUCAAUUAUCACAGAUAAAACCCGGUUCUUUGCUUUGUUAUCCGGAGCUCCAUGCCCAUCUCCGUUUUGGUAAGUGCAUCGGGCGAUCCGAGCAAGGUUAUAAGCCGUUUCAAUAAACGGUUUCUCAAAUGGAGAAUCAGCUGCUACUCGUUCUUUGUUCAUCUUCUUCCACGCUUCCUCGAUCAAACUUCUUAUGUGCUUCCGGGCUUCUUGUUCAGAAACUCCAGUUUCGUACAUGUAACAGAGGAUUGAGUUUGCAGAUUCACCUCUCUCCAACUCAGC